CCAGGUAAACAAUGUCCACUGCCUGCCCCAUGUCAACCAGGCAAGUCACUUUGUCAUAGAAGGCCACCAGGUUUGUCAAGCACGAUCUGCCUUUAAUGAAGCCGUGUUGGCUUUUCCCAAUCACGUGCUUCAUUUGACUUGUGAUGGCCCUCAGGAGGAUUCGUUCCAUAACUUUCCCAGGGACUGAAGUAAGGCUGAUGGGCCUAGAGUUACCCGGAUCCUCCCUCGAGCCCUUCUUGUAGAUAGGGGUAACACUUGCCUUCCCCCAGUCCUCUGGGACAUCCCCCGUUCUCCAUGACUUCUCGAAGAUUAUGGAGAGUGGCCUUGCGAUGAUGUCAGCCAUUCCUCUCAACACCCUCGGGUGGAUGUUGUCAGGGAACAUCCUGUUCUGUUUGUUGUUGUUCGCUUGUUUGUUUCACCUUGCCUGCUUUUUUCACUUAGCCAUCACAGGAUUUGCAUGUCCACUUCUGGAAGAUUUUCUUCCAGCAACUGCAUCUGUGCUGCAUGGUACCAGAAUGUUGAAUACUGAUACCUUCUACCGGCCUGCCUAGAUUAACAUAACAUUUACAGCAUGGACUUCCUCCCACUGUGUCUUUUCUUCAACCUACAGAAGCCACUUGAAAAGAGAAAAGUUUCUACUGCAUGGAUGCAGAACUGUCGAGGCUACCAAAGCUCUCUUUACUGGCGAAUAGGGGCUGUCGUCUCCAAAGGAGUAAAAGAUAUUGAGAGAUAUUGCUGCAGUAAUAAUAAAAAAGAAAGUCGUCUGCUACAGGGGGAAGAAAACUAUUGCCAUGGAAGUCUCCUUUAAAAUCCUAUGAAGCAAAAUUAACUUUAGCAAAAGACUGCUGCUUGCUCAUGUGCAAAGAAAAUAAGCUAAUGCUGGAGCAAA